GAAUCCCGUCUUUGACAUGGACUGCCAGGGCUCAACAGGUGUGCUCUCGAAGAGUCGAGUUGUUUGGGAAUGCAGCUCAAAAUGGGUGGUAAAUGCCAUCUAAAGCUAAAUAUUGGCGAGAGACCGAUAGCGAACAAGUACCGUGAGGGAAAGAUGAAAAGAACUUUGGAAAGAGAGUUAAACAGUACGUGAAAUUGCUGAAAGGGAAACGCUUGAAGUCAGUCGCGUCAGCUGGAAAUCAACCCUGCUUUUGCUGGGCGCACUUUCCUGUCUGACGGGUCAGCAUCAGUUCUGGUCGCUGGAUAAAGUCCUUGGGAACGUGGCAUCCUUUGGAUGUGUUAUAGCCCACUGGCGCAUGCAGCGGCUGGGAUUGAGGAACUCAGCACGCGCCUUCGGGCGUCGGGGCCUUGCCCACGAUACGUGCUUAGGAUGUUGGCGUAAUGGCUUUAAACGACCCGUCUUGAAACACGGACCAAGGAGUCUAACAUGCCUGCGAGUGUUUGGGUGGUGAAAACUCAUGCGCGCAAUGAAAGUGAUGGUUGAGAUCCCUGUCAUGGGGAGCAUCGACGCCCAGACCAGACCUUUUGCGACGGAUCUGCGGUAGAGCAUGCAUGUUGGGACCCGAAAGAUGGUGAACUAUGCCUGAAUAGGGUGAAGCCAGAGGAAACUCUGGUGGAGGCUCGUAGCGAUUCUGACGUGCAAAUCGAUCGUCAAAUUUGGGUAUAGGGGCGAAAGACUAAUCGAACCAUCUAGUAGCUGGUUCCUGCC
rnacentral:rRNA from 1 species